UACGUAGGGUGCGAGCGUUAAUCGGAAUUACUGGGCGUAAAGAGUGUGUAGGCGGUGCUCCAAGUCUGGUGUGAAAUCUCCCGGCUUAACUGGGAGGGUGCAUUAGAAACUGGAAUGCUAGAGGAUGGGAGAGGUAAGCGGAAUUCCUGGUGUAGCGGUGAAAAUGCGUAGAUAUCGGUAGGAACACCAGUGGCGAAGGCGGUUUCCUGGAGCCCACU
rnacentral:rRNA from 1 species